rnacentral:tRNA from 1 species
GGCCGGUGGUGUAAGGCGAACAUCGCUGCCCGGAAAGCAGAAGAUGCGGGUUCGAGUCCCGCUUGGCGCA